rnacentral:rRNA from 1 species
UACGAAGGGGGCUAGCGUUGCUCGGAAUCACUGGGCGUAAAGGGCGCGUAGGCGGCGACUCUAGUCAGAUGUGAAAGUCCUGGGCUUAACCUGGGGACUGCAUUUGAUACUGGGUUGCUUGAAUUCGGGAGAGGAUAGCGGAAUUCCCAGUGUAGAGGUGAAAUUCGUAGAUAUUGGGAAGAACACCGGUGGCGAAGGCGGCUAUCUGGACCGACAUUGACGCUGAGGCGCGAAAGCGUGGGGAGCAAACAGG